UGGGGAAUUUUGGACAAUGGGGGCAACCCUGAUCCAGCCAUCCCGCGUGUGCGAUGAAGGCCUUCGGGUUGUAAAGCACUUUUGGCAGGGAAGAAACAGCCUGGGCUAAUAUCCCGGGCGACUGACGGUACCUGCAGAAUAAGCACCGGCUAACUACGUGCCAGCAGCCGCGGUAAUACGUAGGGUGCAAGCGUUAAUCGGAAUUACUCGGCGUAAAGCGUGCGCAGGCGGUUCGGAAAGAAAGGUGUGAAAUCCCAGGGCUUAACCUUGGAACUGCACUUUUAACUACCGGGCUAGAGUACGUCAGAGGGGGGUAGAAUUCCACGUGUAGCAGUGAAAUGCGUAGAGAUGUGGAGGAAUACCGAUGGCGAAGGCAGCCCCCUGGGAUGAUACUGACGCUCAUGCACGAAAGCGUGGGGAGCAAACA
rnacentral:rRNA from 1 species